rnacentral:rRNA from 1 species
GAUGAACGCUAGCGGCAGGCCUAAUACAUGCAAGUCGAACGGGAUCCAGAUCAAAGCUUGCUUUGGUCUGGUGAGAGUGGCGCACGGGUGCGUAACGCGUGAGCAACCUACCCUUGUCAGGGGGAUAGCCCGGCGAAAGUCGGAUUAAUACCGCAUGACAUCAUUGUGAGGCAUCUUUCGAUGAUCAAAGAUUUAUAGUACAAGGAUGGGCUCGCGUGACAUUGGCUGGUGGGUAAGGUAAGGGCUUACAAAGCCUGUGAUGUUUAGGGGCGGUGAGAGGGGCAUCACUCAGACUGAUACUGGGACACGGACCAGACGCCUGCGAGAGGCAGCAGUAAGGAGUAUAGGUCAAUGGACGGAAGUGUGAACCAGCGAGGCCGCGUGCAGGAGGACGGCCCUAUGGAGUGUAGUCUGCUGUUAAGCGGGAACAUACGACUGUACGUGUACCGGUCUGAGUGUACCGUAAGAAUAAGGAUCGGCUAACUCCGUG